UCCCCUGUAGCUCAAUGGUAGAGCGCAUCCCUGUUAAGGAUUAGGUUAGUGGUUCGAGUCCACUCGGGGGAGCCA
rnacentral:tRNA from 1 species